UACGUAGGGGGCAAGCGUUGUCCGGAAUCAUUGGGCGUAAAGCGCGCGUAGGCGGCCCGGUAAGUCCGUUGUGAAAGUCAAAGGCUCAACCUUUGAACGCCGAUGGAUACUGCCGGGCUAGAGUCCGGAAGAGGCGAGUGGAAUUCCUGGUGUAGCGGUGGAAUGCGCAGAGUAUCAGGAGGAACACCAAUAGCGAAGGCAGCUCGCUGGGACGUUACUGACGCUGAGACGCGAAAGCGUGGGGAGCAAACAGG
rnacentral:rRNA from 1 species